AGUGGACGCUGGCGGUAGGCCUAACACAUGCAAGUCGAACGGCAGCACAGUAAGAGCUUGCUCUUACGGGUGGCGAGUGGCGGACGGGUGAGGAAUACAUCGGAAUCUACUUUUUCGUGGGGGAUAACGUAGGGAAACUUACGCUAAUACCGCAUACGACCUACGGGUGAAAGCAGGGGAUCUUCGGACCUUGCGCGAUUGAAUGAGCCGAUGUCGGAUUAGCUAGUUGGCGGGGUAAAGGCCCACCAAGGCGACGAUCCGUAGCUGGUCUGAGAGGAUGAUCAGCCACACUGGAACUGAGACACGGUCCAGACUACUACGGGAGGCAGCAGUGGGGAAUAUUGGACAAUGGGCGCAAGCCUGAUCCAGCCAUACCGCGUGGGUGAAGAAGGCCUUCGGGUUGUAAAGCCCUUUUGUUGGGAAAGAAAAGCAGCAGGUUAAUACCCCGCUGUUCUGACGGUACCCAAAGAAUAAGCACCGGCUAACUUCGUG
rnacentral:rRNA from 1 species